rnacentral:piRNA from 2 species
UAAGGAAGUUGCUUAGGAUUCCAGAA